rnacentral:tRNA from 1 species
GGGGCCGUAGUGUAGCUUGGUCUAUCACUCAAGGCUGGGGGUCUUGCAACCGGAGUUCAAACCAGUCAAGUGAGAUUUUCAAUCUCACGAACUAUCUUAAAAAUCUUGAAAGUCUCCGCGGCCCCA